UAAAAAAUAUAUUUUAUAAUAAAAUUAUUUCUUUCCACAUUUAGACAUCAGACAAUGAUAAAUAUAACUAUAUUCUGGUCAUAAAUCAAUAUUAUAAUUAAUAUUUUAAAUAAUAACACAAUAUUAGUCAUAAACAAGAAGACGACAAAUGACUAAAAGUUUUGAACACUUAUCACCAACUCACCUGCUUAGCGCAGUUGGAUAACAGUGCCACGAAUUAUCGCUACCGAUAGUAGCCGAGGGUUUCCAGUUCAAGACUUGCUGAUUCAAGUUUAAGGAGCACAAUGGCGGACACUCAAUAUAUAUGCUACUACUGUCCAGUGCAGUCGGGUGAUUUUGAGAAGAUUAUUUACCAUGGCAUAAUGGAACAUGGAAAGUUAGAAUUAAAGUUAAAGGUAGCCACAAUUUCAGACAUGAACAAUGUUUUUCAAACUAAAAAUUACAAAAUUAUCCCUGAACAAUUUGCUAUGGAAGGAAAAAUUAUAAUUCCACAAAAAGCAACUCUGAGUGUACAAAUUUCACGACAAAAAGAACUAACCUCCCCAACAUAGGCAAUUACGAAAAUUAAAUGGCAUUCAACGCCAAAAAAAUUAAGUAACGAUGCAUCUGAUAAUUUGUGCCGUGAUGUUUGUGAGGGCCUUUUGAAUAUGUCUAUUGAUGACCUUCAAGAAGACAGCAACACUGGUCUAAGUUCUAUUGUACCAAAUGAUGAAGAUGACACUGAAGAUGCUGACUAUAACAACUUAAUAGAAAUGCUUCCGAAAGUAGUAGAAACUUUAAGAGAUGGUGGCCGUUUAGAAAUGUACAUCAAAUUCAACCAGCUUCUAGCAGAAAAGAAACUUCCUUUGCCAAAUAUAGCUCUUUUGUUGUUCAGUGGCGUUGUGGAAUGGUUCUCCUUAAAUGAUACUCGAAACAUGCGAUACUCUCUAGAGGUUAAGCAGUUUUGGAGAGUUGGUGCCAAAUUGUUUGAAGGUAAAUUUUUACGUUUUAUGAGCGGAUGGAAGAAUAAGGGACAGAAAGUUGAUGGACAUAUUAAACCCGAUGAUUCUGCGAUAAACUUCGCUGUUCCGGACAAAAAAUGUCUCGUAGACAGUGACCUAUCAGAUGUAUUGAAAAACAUGAAGCCUGGGAUCUUGUCUGAGAUGAUGGAUAUCUUGCAUGAAGACGACAUACAACAAACCAAGUCGUAUAAACUCUGUGUUGAUGGGAAAAAAAGUCAAUUCUGGAGCGGAAGGUCAGAAAUACGGUGAUAUUAAUUUGUGGGGGUAUGAAGGUCCACCUUCAGUUAAAGACCAAGAGGAUAAACUUAACAACGAUCUAGAGAAAAUCAGAAAGUUGGAAAUUCUUAUUGGCGCACUGGAAAUGAGAGAUAUUGUAAAUAUAUGUCACGCACCAGAAAUUCACAAGAUUAACAUAGUUUCUCAAGUGAAGGAUAUGUUAAAGACGUUACGUGAAAGAAUUAAUUAACCUCUCCCUAGUUUUGACCAUAUAAAACGUACUUAAUAAAUAAGUAGAUGCAAAAUUUAUGUUCUAUACAUACAGAAGAUAUUGAAAAAGACGGGCAGAAUGUAACAGUGAAAAUAAAUAUUUAUAUUCUAAGAAAAAAAGACAGAAACCAUAAAUAUGCAUACACUAUAUCUUAACUAUGGAGCUGUAAUGACACUGAUGUGCUUGUCAUAAAUUGUUUUAUUCAUGCCAUAUCGAUAAAUACUAAGUAUAUACAGCAUAUGUAAACACUUUCAAUAUCUGCUUAAAUCCCGUCGGCACAGACAGCUAUUUCUAGGUGCGUUUUUUCGCUGCUACACAGGUGGUGUUUAAUUAAUUUCCAGGUGUAAAUGGCUGAUUUUGAUACAUUCCAUGGAAUAAUAUAAUGCAGUUAACUUUACUUUAAUUUUGUAUGAAAUGACAGAUGUUCGUUCCAUAACAAACCUAUACAGUAAAUCAGAACAAUCUAUACAGUUUACGAGGGGUUUUUUUUGCACACAACCUAUACAAAACGUGUUCGGCGCGACAUACAAAAUGUUCUUAUAAAGCAAUGGCCAGUAACAUUAUGCAUACACAGUGGUCGUUAUUCUCAUUUACGAAUACAUAUUAACUCUCGGUUGUGUUCUCUGUAUCCAUUAACUUCUUAUUUUAAGUAAAAUUUGAAGAAAACAAAUCAAGAAUAAUUUCGCGUGUAAAGCAAAGUUAUUGUGAUUCAUUAGGUAAAACCGUUACUUGCAUCUUAAGUAAGGUAACGUUUACAUAAAAAACGAUUACAAAGAGUAUAAGCCUAAUAACGAAAUCAUAAUUGGCAUCAAAUCAUAGAAAACCGUUGUAAAAUGCAACAUUUUCACCACCUACCUUUGACGUGUUCCAAACCCGAUGUCUCGCUUGACAGUUAUUCCACAUCCGAUGCAAAAAAAUUGUAUAUACACAUCCGUUCCCCUACAGUGGAUUUUGUUCGUAACUGAAAAUUGGAUUAAUGCAGGAUUACUAUUUGGACAAAAUGUCUAUUUAUACGUAAAACUUAACUCAGGAGGUUUUCUUUAUACAGUAAGUGUUUAUAUUUGUUACUACAUCUCAUAUUUCGCCACGAAAUAAUUAAUUCCAUGAUUUUAUAGAUUCCGCCUGAAAUCUGGGCGGAAAGUGCACGCUUCUAUCGGGCAUAGAAGUUGUAAACAUCGCAGGUCCAAUAAAUGUCAAAAUGUUAAAAAAACGGACCGAAUCUCCCCUAGUGCCAACCAGUGUUCGCGUUAAUGACUACGUUCAGUAAACAUACUACAUUUAUUUUAAAACCCAUCUUCAUAAAUCAAGGCUAAUAUUCGUUACCCAGAAGUGCUGUGGUAUUUAUUGGCAAAAGUUAAUGUUUUAAGAUUUAAGACAGAUUUGUCUUGGGCAUAACUUGUAGUAUUUUAAGAUAGAACUUAUGUUUUGAAAUAAGAGUACUAGCCGUCGGGCAUGGCAACAUUAGUUAUUUACUAGCCCAACAUUGAAUAUUACCAGCCAUGGCAAUAGGGCAACCAUAAUCUAGAAGCCUUGGAUCAUCAUUAUGUAAGACUACAACCAGCAUACAUUGUAUGUAAUUACGUCUGGAGCCAGGGAUCUUCAUAUCCUCAAGGAUUUAUCCAGGAUUUUUUGCCAGUGUCCCAUGACUGAUGGGAUUGGGAAUACUAGCGCUAGUAAAUCAUUGGGAUGUUUUCAGGCCGCUGAAUGAUGCAGUACAUCAUUGUUAAAUUAAUUUAUUACAACAGACAUAUAUUAAAUACAUGUACAUAUAUUGGGAAUUUUUAGCAUAGAAAUUGGGAAUUUUCGGUGCCACUUUCUUUGGGGAAGGGGCCUAUCUCCGGACCCACAGAAUGGCUGGAUAAAUCCUUGAACCCACCCGAUGGUUGGUCCUAAUAAACCCUAAAACCCUG
rnacentral:lncRNA from 1 species